rnacentral:lncRNA from 1 species
AUGAGUCGAGUUGGAUUGAUCCCCUCGUAGAUUACAUAUCUAAAGAAGUUCUACCCAAUGAUCUAGCCAAAGCCAGAAGUAUUAAAAGAUAAGCUUCAUGGUAUGUUCUUCAAGAAGGCUACUUAUAUAAAAAGUCUUAUUCUCUUCCUCUACUUUAAUGCUUGACACUAUAUGAAACUGACUACGCACUUCAAGAAGUGCAUGAGGAGAUAUGUGAAAACUAUCUGGGGG